GUGCCAGCAGCCGCGGUAAUACGUAUGUUCCAAGCGUUAUCCGGAUUUAUUGGGCGUAAAGCGAGCGCAGACGGUUAUUUAAGUCUGAAGUGAAAGCCCUCAGCUCAACUGAGGAAUUGCUUUGGAAACUGGAUGACUUGAGUGCAGUAGAGGAAAGUGGAACUCCAUGUGUAGCGGUGAAAUGCGUAGAUAUAUGGAAGAACACCAGUGGCGAAGGCGGCUUUCUGGACUGUAACUGACGUUGAGGCUCGAAAGUGUGGGUAGCAAACAGGAUUGGAUACCCCCGUAGUCC
rnacentral:rRNA from 1 species